GAUGAACGCUGGCGGCGUGCUUAACACAUGCAAGUCGAACGUGAGAGGUAGCAAUAUCUUGAAAGUGGCGCACGGGUGAGUAACACGUAGGUAACCUGCCUCGGAGUGGGGGAUAACAGUCAGAAAUGACUGCUAAUACCGCAUGAAUCCAUUAAGAUGGGAAUGUUGAUGGAGAAAACUCUGGUGCUUCGAGAGGGGCCUGCGGUCGAUUAGCUAGUUGGCGGGUAACGGCCACCAAGGCGACGAUCGAUAGCUGGUCUGAGAGGACGAUCAGCCACACGGGAACUGAGACACGGUCCCGACUCCUACGGGGGCAGCAGUGAGGAAUAUUGGGCAAUGGGCGAAGCCUGACCCAGCAACGCCGCGUGGAGGAAUGAAGGCCUUCGGGUUGUAAACUCCUUUUGCAGGGGAAGAGGAAGGACGGUACCCUGCGAA
rnacentral:rRNA from 1 species